rnacentral:lncRNA from 1 species
GAAAGGGCCCAUCUGUAGCUGCUUUCAAGUGGUUUCCCAGAGGGAGGCUGACCUGCUGUCUUAGAGUCCUCCUAAGACCCUGCCUGAUCAGUUCACCUACCUUUGAUAUUAUUUUCUUGUCUUUUUAAAGAUAUGAAAGAGGAGCCCAAGCAAAUAUUGUUGCAGCUCAAGAGAGAACAAAGUGUGCCUGGAGAUGUCAGAACUAAGGGGAAGGUCUGAACCAGAGGAAACCGGUCAGCAGGGGACAGUGCAGUCUAGAGUCCUCUCCCAUGGAGUCUUGAUGCCCUGCUGCCUGCUGCUAUCACAGCCUUGUGAUUCUGGACUUGUGAGGCCGACUCUGUGCUGGACAGCAAAUCCCCCUAGGAUCAAAGGCCCAUUUGAGCCAUCUUUUCGCCUGCACAUCUGGUGUCACGGCUGGCUUAUCUUAGCCAUCUGAUAAAUCUGUGUUGAAGAAUGAAUCAAUGAAUGAAUAAAGAGUGAAUGGUAUGAAUUCUGGUCACUCGGCCACAAACCAGCCCCGUA